AUUGAAAAAUUAAAGCAGAGAAUCCAAUACCCCCAAUUCACACCGCCCACCUUAUAUACACCCCACCUGAGCAUCGCUCAGAAAUUACACUAAUUUUCAUUCUUGCUUCCCAACUCCAGUUAGCUCAAGCUCCAUGGCUAAUACGGUGGAGUUGAAGGUGAAUUUGCACUGCGACGAAUGCAUUAGGAAAAUCCUGAAAGCCAUCAAGAAAAUUGAAGACAUUGAAACAUACGAUGUUGACAAGAAGCUAAACAAGGUGAUGGUCACUGGGAAGGUGACCAAUGAAGAGGUGGUCAAAGCUCUUCAUAAAAUCGGGAAGCAAGCUAGCAGCUGGGGAGAGGAAUAAACGCAUACCAUAUAUACAUAUAUGUUUAAUCUUUUUUUAAAAUAUAAAUUAGUUUGGUUCUGUUAGAGUAAAUGAUUUUAUUGGAGGUCAUGUAUAUGUAGUACUUUAUUUAAUUUCUGAGUGAAAUUUAAUUACCAAUAUAAUAAGGUUGGGUUUUGAGGAUCGAUUUAGGGCCUUUAAAGACAUGUUAUGUGAAUUGUAAGGUUGACGUUUUAGAGUGAUGACUUUAGGUUGUUGAGGACAAA